GGGAGAGAGAGAGAGAGAGAAAUGAGAAGAAAGAGAUAGUAACUUUUAAAACAAAAACAAUCUCAAGAAAUCUCAUCUUUUCAUGAAAGAUUUUUUCUUGUUAAAAUUACACUACAAAAUCCCACAAAAUCCAUCAAAAUCCAAUUUAUUAAACAAUCCUUCGAAAUUUGAAUGAUUUUGAAUACCACAAAACUUUUUUUAAAUGAUGAAAAGUCUUGAUUGAAUACCUCAAGACUUUUUUAAAAUGACAAAGAGUCUUGA
rnacentral:lncRNA from 1 species